UCCUAGAUGAAGUAAGAUGACUGUUC
rnacentral:piRNA from 1 species